rnacentral:rRNA from 1 species
AGAGUUUGAUCCUGGCUCAGGACGAACGCUGGCGGCGUGCUUAACACAUGCAAGUCGAACGGGGCGCUUAUGAUGGAGAUUUCGGUCAACGGAUUAGGCUGCCUAGUGGCGGACGGGUGAGUAACGCGUGGGUAACCUGCCUUGUACAGGGGGAUAACAGUUGGAAACGGCUGCUAAUACCGCAUAAGCGCACAGCAUCGCAUGAUGCAGUGUGAAAAACUCCGGUGGUAUAAGAUGGACCCGCGUUGGAUUAGCUAGUUGGUGAGGUAACGGCCCACCAAGGCGACGAUCCAUAGCCGACCUGAGAGGGUGACCGGCCACAUUGGGACUGAGACACGGCCCAAACUCCUACGGGAGGCAGCAGUGGGGAAUAUUGCACAAUGGGCGAAAGCCUGAUGCAGCGACGCCGCGUGAGCGAAGAAGUAUUUCGGUAUGUAAAGCUCUAUCAGCAGGGAAGAUAAUGACGGUACCUGACUAAGAAGCCCCGGCUAACUACGUGCCAGCAGCCGCGGUAAUACGUAGGGGGCAAGCGUUAUCCGGAUUUACUGGGUGUAAAGGGAGCGUAGACGGCAAGGCAAGUCUGAUGUGAAAACCCAGGGCUUAACCCUGGGACUGCAUUGGAAACUGUCUGGCUCGAGUGCCGGAGAGGUAAGCGGAAUUCCUAGUGUAGCGGUGAAAUGCGUAGAUAUUAGGAAGAACACCAGUGGCGAAGGCGGCUUACUGGACGGUAACUGACGUUGAGGCUCGAAAGCGUGGGGAGCAAACAGGAUUAGAUACCCUGGUAGUCCACGCCGUAAACGAUGGAUACUAGGUGUGGGAGGUAUUGACCCCUUCCGUGCCGCAGUUAACACAAUAAGUAAUCCACCUGGGGAGUACGACCGCAAGGUUGAAACUCAAAGGAAUUGACGGGGGCCCGCACAAGCAGUGGAGUAUGUGGUUUAAUUCGACGCAACGCGAAGAACCUUACCAAGUCUUGACAUCCUGCGACGGACAUAGAAAUAUGUUUUUCCUUCGGGACGCAGAGACAGGUGGUGCAUGGUUGUCGUCAGCUCGUGUCGUGAGAUGUUGGGUUAAGUCCCGCAACGAGCGCAACCCUUAUGGUCAGUUACUACGCAAGAGGACUCUGGCCAGACUGCCGUUGACAAAACGGAGGAAGGUGGGGAUGACGUCAAAUCAUCAUGCCCUUUAUGACUUGGGCUACACACGUGCUACAAUGGCGUAAACAAAGGGAAGCAAAGCUGUGAAGCCGAGCAAAUCUCAAAAAUAACGUCUCAGUUCGGACUGUAGUCUGCAACCCGACUACACGAAGCUGGAAUCGCUAGUAAUCGCAGAUCAGAAUGCUGCGGUGAAUACGUUCCCGGGUCUUGCACACACCGCCCGUCA